AUUGAACGCUGGCGGCAGGCCUAACACAUGCAGGUCGGACGGUAGCACAGAGGAGCUUGCUCCUCGGGUGACGAGUGGCGGACGGGUGAGUAAUGUCUGGGGAUCUGCCCGAUAGAGGGGGAUAACCACUGGAAACGGUGGCUAAUACCGCAUAACGUCGCAAGACCAAAGAGGGGGACCUUCGGGCCUCUCACUAUCGGAUGAACCCAGAUGGGAUUAGCUAGUAGGCGGGGUAACGGCCCACCUAGGCGACGAUCCCUAGCUGGUCUGAGAGGAUGACCAGCCAAACUGGAACUGGGACACGGGCCAGACUCCUACGGGAGGCAGCAGUGGGGAAUAUUGCACAAUGGGCGCAAGCCUGAUGCAGCCAUGCCGCGUGUAUGAAGAAGGCCUUCGGGUUGUAAAGUACUUUCAGCGGGGAGGAAGGCGAUGUGGUUAAUAACCGCAUUGAUUGACGUUACCCGCAGAAGAAGCACCGGCUAACACCGUGCCAGCAGCCGCCGCAG
rnacentral:rRNA from 1 species